GCCCAGUCCCCGGCGCGCGCCCGCUGGCGGCGCUGCGAUCCCUCGCUUGCGAGGCUGGCUCUACGUGGCGCGGGAGUGGCGCCAGAAUUCAAACUAACAGCCGCAGUUGGAGGCGAGGCUCCCGCUUGCCCGGAGCCAAGUCCGCCCCGGACGGGUUGGGCGGCUCGGGGCCGGGAGUGGACUUGAGUUAGGCAGCGCAGGGCGGCCUCGGUUUAGGACCCACUCGAGAAGGCGGGCUGGCGCCGGCCGGGAGUGAGCGACCCGCGGCCGCCGCACGCCCAGAAAGGGAAAGUAGAUGGCAGACCUGUUCGGGUGAAAACACUCUGUGAAAGCGCUGCGACUCUCCUCCGGUCCGCAGGGAGAGUACCGCGCCCCUCCAGCUCCCGCGGCCGGUGCGCCCUGGGCGGCGUCCGGGCCCCGCGCCCCGCCCCCCUCCCCUUCCGUGGGCCGGGCGCUGCUCCUACACUCUGAUCUGCACGUCCAAUUCUUCCUGAGCCAGCAACCCCGAGAGUGCCCAAGUGAAUUAAAGCCAUAUCAUAGUGAGCUUGUGAGAAGAUCUGCAAGAUCAAUUUCUAGAAACAGAAAAUACAGUGGAAGGAUUUGGAAAGGACUGUCACCUCUGCCUAGUACUGCACUGUGGCUGAGAGAGCUGGUGAGUUUAACACCAAUUAAAACAAGAAGAAGGAUGCUAAUGUUACCUUUGAUUUACCACUCUUUGCUGUUUUAAUUCAAUGAGAAGCUCAAUCUCUACACCUGAAAGAAUCUCCAACGGAAAAGCACAUACAAAAAAAGAUAUAUAUAGCCAUAAUGGAAAACAGUAUGGAGGUUGCUCAAAAAGUUAAGAAUGAACUAUCAUAUGAUCCAGCAAUCCUACUUCUAGGUUCUCAAGAUCUGUGGGGACAUAAAAUUAUGAUGCUUGUCUGGAGGCAGAGAAGAUGAAGAGGGCACAGACCAAUCUUAUAUAAUGAAUACUGCCUGCUGAAGUUCUCCAUUUGCUCUCAGGCCACAGCUGGGCAUUUGGGAAGAUGCGGAAGCAAAAGUCAGAGGUGCACCACCACACACACCUACACCUAUUUCUCUCGCUCAGCGUAAGGACUCCAGUUUACUUGAUCUUAAACAAGAAACCUGGUUAGCAUGUUCACCUUGACACUGUCUUGGUAAACACUUAGUUCUAUUUCCAAAUUCGGUCAAGUCUUCCUUCAUGGACUUGGUUCAUUCCUUACCUAGACUGUUAUCUCAGGUCUUUGUGUCUUGUCAUUCUUCUUAACACAUCUGUCAAAGUUAUCUUCCCUGUUUUCUGCUUUGAACUAAUAAACUACAAGGAAAGUAUCCUUGUUCUUUA